rnacentral:rRNA from 1 species
UGCCAGCAGCCGCGGUAAUACGGAGGGUGCGAGCGUUAAUCGGAAUUACUGGGCGUAAAGCGCGCGUAGGCGGCUAGAUCAGUCGGAUGUGAAAGCCCCGGGCUUAACCUGGGAACUGCAUUCGAUACUGUCUAGCUAGAGUAUGGUAGAGGGAAGUGGAAUUCCGGGUGUAGCGGUGAAAUGCGUAGAUAUCCGGAGGAACACCAGUGGCGAAGGCGACUUCCUGGCUCGGUACUGACGCUGAGAUGCGAAAGCAUGGGUAGUGAACCGGAUUAGAUA